CAGGAAGGUAUAUAUAGGGAGACCAGGAGCCCUGGGGCAGCCCACUCAGAGUCUUCAACAUGGCUGAAAUCACCUGUAAGCCACAGGAGUUUAGCACAGAUAGGGACCAACCAACCACAAGCAUGGACCAACCAACCAGAAGUGGGAAACAGCCACUCCCAAGCAUGGAAUAGUCGACCCAAGUGCAGAACAAGCAUCCACAAGUGCUCUAGAAAGGAAGGAGUGGAAGGCUCCCUGUCAAUGCAAGUGCAGAGACAGUGCCAAGGUGUGGAAAACAGCUGAGUGAGUAGAAAUGCCCCUGCAAGCAUGUGCAGCCUAAAGAUCCUUUGAAAUAUCUAUCGUCCAUUUGAAAAAGCACAAGAAAGAAACAAGACCAACAAUAUUUGUCUGUUACCACCACCAAGAGAGUAAAUCAAAAUAAGAGUUGGAAUAAGUUAGAGCAGAAACAAGAGACCCCAGAGAACUCUGCCAAUCCAAGUAAUAUACGGUGUUAGAGAGGCCUGGAGACCUACAACAGUCUGCUUCGUCUCCAGAGUUGCCUGUGGAGAAAUUGUCAGCCACGUAGAAACCUAAUGUUACAGCAAUAGGGUACACAGAUGGUGAUGACUAAAAUAAAAUCAACAAGAUAUGAAAAAUAAAAACAAGGAAGGGCACCUCUUCUUGCUUCUCCUAUACUCCUUUCCCAUCUUUAACCAACACAAAUAUUUUGAGCACCUUUCUGUAUACCAAGCACUGUGCUACCUACUGGGAAUAGAGCAACCAACAAGACAGCUGGAAGAGAAAGGACACAGUUUAAAAAGUGAUGUGAAAGACCUUAGAGAUUGGGGUCUGUUCCCAAGGGUAAGAUUUCUCAAGGCCUUUUGCCCAGAACAUCUUCCUUUCCUCUUGAAAUCAUAAGAAAGAGAUAACUCGCACUGAGAACAAAGACCAGACAAACCUUGACAGGAGUUUCAAGAGAGGGCAUUGAGGAAGAUGAGUAAGACUGCUCAGUGUGGCUCAGGUGGUGAACUAUGCCAGCCUGAUGUCACCGAUGAAGUCACUGACCCAGGGACCACAGAGGAGAUUCUUAAGAUGACUAGGAAGUCUGAAAUCUAAGCAUAGGGACAGAUGGCCAAUGAAAAUAAUGAAUGCUUGAGACACUCAUGCAUAGAUGAACACAAGAAGCAGGGGCAGUUUUGCCUAACCCAACUCGGUUACUACAGGAAUCAGCUCUUAGUGCAUACUAAAGCAGUAUUCCAAGUGCAGGGGACUACAGGUAGACUCGACUGUUCUGAUGAGACUGCAAGAUGGGUUUCCACUCUGUGGAGUGCGGGAUAUAUAUAUAUCUAUGAAUGUGCAAAAGGAAAAUGACAAAGGUAGCUGACAGCUAAGAGAAAUAGCAGUACAAAUUAAAACAAAAAACAAAACAAAAAUAGCCUCAGUUGUUGUGUAACCUCCCAUAACUGACAACAGGAUGUUAAAGCUGUAUUUUCGGGGUCUGCCAGCCAGCCAGGAGCAUGCGCAGAGGAGAAAAUUUGGAUCUGCCAAUCGAAACUCAUCCUGCCAGCACUUCUGCAUACCAGCCUGCCCUCCCUGAUCCCUUAAACCUAACCUCUGGAUCAGGGAGACAGAGUUGAGAGCCUG
rnacentral:lncRNA from 1 species